AGGACGAACGCUGGCGGCGUGCUUAACACAUGCAAGUCGAGCGGAAAGGCCCUUCGGGGUACUCGAGCGGCGAACGGGUGAGUAACACGUGAGCAACCUGCCCCUGGCUCUGGGAUAGCCUCCGGAAACGGGGAUUAAUACCGGACAUGACCUGCUGCCGCAUGGUGGCGGGUGGAAAGUUUUCGGCCAGGGUGGGGCUCGCGGCCUAUCAGCUUGGUUGGGGGGGUGACGGCCCACCAAGGCGACGACGGGUA
rnacentral:rRNA from 1 species